CCAUUCAGAUGGUGGUGCUGGCAGAGGCAGUGAGUGGGGGGAGCACGUCCUAUCUGGAAGAGGAAUCCGUUCUUAGGAGGGCGAAUGGCCAGCUCCCUCCAUGACGGAGCAUGCAGGUGCUGUGGCUCCUGUCUUCGUGCCCUCCGCAGCCUCCUGCCCUUGUGGCCUGGACCACAGACGAGAGGCAUGUUACGCAACCCCCCAUGAAGGGUAGAUCGUCUUCUCUUCACCGCCGAAGAUGAGAGGAAAGAAAAUAAAAGUAGAAGAUGAAUCCACGAGUCCCAAAUUGGAAUUUUGGGAUGAGAGAACAAUGACUAAAAAUUAAAAAAAGAAGUUAUUUGUAAAAAUUCAUAAACUUUCCCAGAA